GCCUCUGUGGCUCAGUGGUAGAGCAUCUGUCUUGUAAACAGAAGGUCCCCGGUUCAAUCCCGGGCGGAGCAUUGCC
rnacentral:tRNA from 1 species